rnacentral:rRNA from 1 species
GAUGAACGCUGGCGGCGUGCUUAACACAUGCAAGUCGAACGGAAAGGCCUCUGCUUGCUGGGGUACUCGAGUGGCGAACGGGUGAGUAACACGUGGGUGAUCUGCCCUGCACUUCGGGAUAAGCCUGGGAAACUGGGUCUAAUACCGGAUAGGACCAUGGUUUGCAUGCUGUUGUUGAGAGUUUUUCGGGGUGGGGUGAUCUCGCGGCCUAUCAGCUUGUUGGUGGGGGAAUGGUCUACAAACACGUCGACGGGUGGCCGGCGUGUGAGGGUGUACGGCGACAUUGGGAGUGAGAUACGCGGCAGACUCCCACGGGGGGGAGCAGUGGGGAGUAUAGCACAAUGGGGGCAAGCGUGAGGCGGAGACGCGGCGUGGGGGAUGACAGGGUUCGGGGUGUGAACACCUUUCGCGAGGGACGAAGCGUGUUUGUGACGGUACCUGGUGAAGAAGCACCGGCUAACUACGUG